ensembl:snoRNA
AGCCUCCUGAUGCUUACCACAGGCUGUGUUCUUACACUGUAUAGAAAGAGGAGGCAGAGUAAACUCACCCCAUAAACACCUCAGGCCAGGAAGGCCCUGUGCCUUGUCUGUAUUGUGAGUGGGAUGACAUGG